rnacentral:tRNA from 1 species
GCGGCCCUCGUCUAACGGUUAGGAUACCGGACCCCAACUCCGGAGAUGACAGUUCGAGUCUGUCGGGCCGCA